CCUUGGAAAAAAGGGGAAGUUUCUUCAAAAAAUUCAAUUGCUUCUAACUUUCUCUAUACACCACCAAAUCAACCAAAGUUUGUGAGCAAAUUUGAUGGAAACCAUCACCCGAACCCAUUCCACCGAUUAGUUUUCCUUGAAAACCUCUCAUUUGUGAGAAAUUAGACAAACUCAGCCACAAAUUCUGAGGAGAAAAUUGGGGUUUUUGUAGUUGUUGCUUAAGCCUUGCUUAGGGAUCAAUUGGAGGAGCCUUGUGACUUAAUUGUGGGCUGAGGAAAAACAUGACAAGAAGAGAAAAGAAACACUGUCAGAAUGUGAAGUGGGAACAGAUAUAUCUCAGACACACAGAAGAAACAUGCUUACAUCUUCUAGUAGUUUAUCAAGAAUUGGUAGAGCUGGGGACUCUAUGAAAUCAAUCUUGUGCUCUACACCAGCCUUUUUGAUGACUGGCAAUCCAACUUCAUAAGCUUUUCUGUCAAUAUCUAUGGCUGUAAUCUGCAACAGCAAUGGAUUUUCAGGAAUGUUGAGAGCAGUGAGGAGAAGUGAGUACCCAGUAAACACUCCCACUUCUAUUGUCUUUUUGGGAUUCAACAGCUUCAGAAGUAAGGUGAUUAGUUGACCCGCAUCAGGUAA